rnacentral:rRNA from 1 species
CCUACGGGAGGCAGCAGUAGGGAAUAUUGCUCAAUGGGGGAAACCCUGAAGCAGCAACGCCGCGUGGAGGAUGAAGGUUUUCGGAUUGUAAACUCCUUUUGUUAGAGAAGAGAAUGACGGUAUCUAACGAAUAAGAACCGGCAAACUCCGUGCCAGCAGCCGCGGUAAUACGGAGGGAGCAAGCGUUACUCGGAAUCACUGGGCGUAAAGAGCGCGUAGGCGGGAUAGCAAGUCAGAUGUGAAAUCCUAUGGCUUAACCAUAGAACUGCAUUUGAAACUGUUAUUCUAGAGUAUGGGAGAGGUAGGUGGUAUUCUUGGUGUAGGGGUCACAUCCGUAGAGAUCACGCGGAAUCCUCAUUGCGCCGGCGACCUGCUAGAUCAUACCUGACGCUGAUGCGCGCAAGCGUGGGGAGCAAACAGGAUUAGAUACCCUGGUAGUC